CCCUUAGAUGUCCGGGGCUGCACGCGCGCUACACUGAAGGAAUCAGCGUGCUAAAACCAUUGUCGAAAGGCAUUGGUAAACCCAUUAAAAUCCUACGUGAUUGGGAUCGGGAAUUGCAAUUAUUUCCCUUGAACGAGGAAUUCCCAGUAAGUGUGGGUCAUAAGCUCGCGUUGAUUACGUCCCUGCCCUUUGUACACACCGCCCGUCGCUGCCCGGGACUGAGCCGUUUCGCGAAAAGCGGGGACUGCUGCUGUCGGGGCUUUCGGGCCUUGGCUUCGGUGGAAACCGCUUUAAUCGCAGUGGCUUGAACCGGGCAAAAGUCGUAACA
rnacentral:rRNA from 1 species